UACGUAGGGUCCGAGCGUUGUCCGGAAUUAUUGGGCGUAAAGGGCUCGUAGGCGGUUCGUCACGUCGGGAGUGAAAACUCGGAGCUUAACUCCGAGCCUGCUUCCGAUACGGGCAGACUAGAGGUAGGCAGGGGGAGAGCGGAACUCCUGGUGUAGCGGUGGAAAUGCGCAGAUAUCAGGAGGAACACCGGUGGCGAAGGCGCCCU
rnacentral:rRNA from 1 species